CCAGGGGGCCGGGCAGCCGCGUCGGAACAUGUUUCCGCCGAGGAAAGUCCGGGCUCCACGAAACAAGGGUGGCGGGUAACGCCCGCCGGGCAAGGGGGUGUGUCCCCCAAGCCAAGGGAAAGUGCCACAGAGAGUAUACCGCCGAUGGCGCCUAUGCGCACAGGCAAGGGUGAAAGGGUGCGGCAAGAGCGCACCGGGGUUCUGGCAACAGCGCCCGCAUGGCAAACCCCACCCGGAGCAAGGCCGAAUAGGGGCGGCGCGCUGCGAGCUUCGGCUCAAGGCAGGUCUGUUUCGGACCCGACCGCCCGGGUUGGCUGCUUGAGCUGCGGAGCAAUCCGUGGCCCAGAUGAAUGGCUGCCACUGUCGAUACGGUCCCGAAUGGGAUACCGUCGGCGGGACAGAACCCGGCUUACAGGCCCCCUGGCACC
rnacentral:RNase_P_RNA from 1 species